AUUGAACGCUGGCGGCAUGCCUUACACAUGCAAGUCGAACGGCAGCACGGGGCAACCUGGUGGCGAGUGGCGAACGGGUGAGUAAUGCAUCGGAACGUACCUUUCAGUGGGGGAUAACGUAGCGAACGUUACGCUAAUACCGCAUAUUUUGUGAGCAGGCAAGCCGGGGCUCGCAAGACCUUGAGCUUACUGAGCGGCCGAUAUCAGAUUAGCUAGGUGGUGAGGUAAAGGCUCGCCAAGGCGACGAUCUGGAGCGGGUCUGAGAGGAUGAUCCGCCACACGGGAACUGAGACACGGUCCAGACUCCUACGGGAGGCAACAGUGGGGAAUUUUGGACAAUGGGGGCAACCCUGAUCCAGCCAUGCCGCGUGAGUGAAGAAGGCCUUCGGGUUGUAAAGCUCUUUCAGCCGGGAAGAAAUCGCAUCAGCUAAUACCUGGUGUGGAUGACGGUACCGGAAUAAGAAGCACCGGCUAACUACGUGCCAGCCGCCGCGGUAAAAC
rnacentral:rRNA from 1 species